CAGCAGCCACGGUAAUACGAAGGGGGCUAGCGUUGUUCGGAAUUACUGGGCGUAAAGCGCACGUAGGCGGAUAUUUAAGUCAGGGGUGAAAUCCCAGAGCUCAACUCUGGAACUGCCUUUGAUACUGGGUAUCUUGAGUAUGGAAGAGGUGAGUGGAAUUCCGAGUGUAGAGGUGAAAUUCGUAGAUAUUCGGAAGAACACCAGUGGCGAAGGCGGCUCACUGGUCCAUUACUGACGCUGAGGUGCGAAAGCGUGGGGAGUAAACAAGAUUAGAUACCCCGGUAGUCCCUGUCUCUUAUAC
rnacentral:rRNA from 1 species